rnacentral:rRNA from 1 species
UACGUAGGGGGCAAGCGUUGUCCGGAAUCAUUGGGCGUAAAGAGCGCGUAGGCGGUCCGGUAAGUCCGCUGUGAAAGUCGGGGGCUCAACCCUCGAAUGCCGGUGGAUACUGUCGGGCUAGAGUCCGGAAGAGGCGAGUGGAAUUCCUGGUGUAGCGGUGAAAUGCGCAGAUAUCAGGAGGAACACCAAUGGCGAAGGCGGGACUCUGGGCCGAUACUGACGCUGAGGAGCGAAAGCGUGGGGAGCAAACAGG